rnacentral:lncRNA from 1 species
CUGUGUUCCCCGUCUAACCUACGUUCUUCCGUAGGUGGGGUUCACUUUUGUCGAUGUGUUCCCCGUCUAACCUACGUUCUUCCGUAGGUGGGGUUCACUUUUGAGUAUGUCCCUCGUCUAACACUACGUUUCCGUAGGUGAGGUUCACUCUUUGCUUUGGAUGGGAUACGCAUCCUGACUCUGUUACCAUUAAGACUUUCUCUAUCCGCGUUCUUCCGCAGGUAGAGUUAAUUUGGCGUCCUACUUUGUUACUGCGUCCAGUAAUAGUAGGAGUUCAAAUAUCUUUAUAUGGCUCAGCUCAUUUUGCUGCCGUAUCCCCGUCCGAGUUGUGGACUUCCACGAUUCCUCAGGAGCAUUUCGUGUUUCACCCUCCUGUCUUGGUGUGCCUCUGCAACUCCAACUUGUCUGGGUUCUUUUUUCUGCACCCCUUUUAUGUGGGAGAAAAAGUCGAUCCCUUGUUGGUUUUGGUCGACUUUUGUUAAAUGUCGAUCUCCUGUUGAAUUUCCUCGACUUUUGCUAAAUGUCGAUCCCUUGUUGAGUUUGGUCGACUUUUGUCAAAAAGUCGAUUCCUGGUGCUUUUGGUCAAAAGUCGAUCCCUUGUGUAAAAAGUCGACUUUGCCAUUUUGUCCUUUUGUGCUGUCCUAGGGUCUAUAAAUAGGACCCCUAGGUUCUCCUUUUCCUUCAUCCAUCCAUGGCUCUUCUUGUGAGUCUCUUUGCUGAUUUUAUUCAGGGGGAGAUUGAGGAGCUGGAUCGGAUUUUGAACAUUUUGGAUCCUCGGUCGUCGACCUUGGAUCUUCCUUCUCUGCGCCAACUUAUUGUUGAGCGGCAGAGUGUUGCUGUUGCUGCUCGGGAGUCCAUUUUUGAAGAAUGGUCUGGUGGCGAUCUUCCGCCUGCCUCUUCUUCUGCUAUUCCUCCCCGUGGCCGACGUCGGAGGCGUCCCCGCCGCGGUGCUUCCCCGCUAGAUCAGGUCCCUCGCCGCUUGCGUCGCCGUAUUAAUUUUAAUUAGGAGCCUGUAAAAUCUUUCAUUCAUCAUUUUUGCAAUUUUGAAUAAAUAUAUUUUUACCUUUUCCUUUAUUUGACUUACACCUUUACUUUGAAGUACGUUAGUGUAACCGAAAUUUUUUCUUGGUCAAUACCAUCUUCUUUUUUCUAAAGGUGUCGGAUUUUUGACAAGUCGACCUCAUUUCUCCCUGGAAAUGCCGAUGUUGCCUAAAAAUGUCGAUAUCGCCCUUUUUUGAGGAAGUCGAUGACUGCUGAUCCUUUUCUAAAGGUGUCGGAUUUUUGACAAGUCGAUCUCAUUUCUCCCUGGAAAUGUCGAUGUUGCCUAAAAAUGUCGAUCUCACCUUUUUCUGAGGAAGUCGAUGACUGCUGAUCCUUUUCUAAAGGUGUCGAAUUUUUGACAAGUCGAUCUCAUUUCUCCCUGGAAAUGUCGAUGUUGCCU